rnacentral:rRNA from 1 species
AGGGAAUAUUGGACAAUGGGCGAAAGCCUGAUCCAGCAAUGCCGCGUGAGUGAUGAAGGCCUUAGGGUUGUAAAGCUCUUUUACCCGAGAUGAUAAUGACAGUAUCGGGAGAAUAAGCUCCGGCUAACUCCGUGCCAGCAGCCGCGGUAAUACGGAGGGAGCUAGCGUUGUUCGGAAUUACUGGGCGUAAAGCGCACGUAGGCGGCGAUUUAAGUCAGAGGUGAAAGCCCGGGGCUCAACCCCGGAAUUGCCUUUGAGACUGGAUUGCUAGAAUCCGGGAGAGGUGAGUGGAAUUCCGAGUGUAGAGGUGAAAUUCGUAGAUAUUCGGAAGAACACCAGUGGCGAAGGCGGCUCACUGGACCGGCAUUGACGCUGAGGUGCGAAAGCGUGGGGAGCAAAC